rnacentral:rRNA from 1 species
GACGAACCGUGCGAACGUUAUUCGGAAUCACUGGGCUUAAAGCGCGUGUAGGCGGGAGGGCACGUCCGUCGCUGAAAUCCCCCGGCUCAACCGGGGAACGGGCGCGGAUACGACCUUCCUGGAGGGGCGUAGGGGGACCUGGAACUUCCGGUGGAGCGGUGAAAUGCGUUGAGAUCGGAAGGAACGCCCGUGGCGGAAGCGAGGUCCUGGACGCCUACUGACGCUGAGACGCGAAAGCCAGGGGAGCGAACGGGG